rnacentral:misc_RNA from 1 species
GAUGAAGAACGUAGCGAAAUGCGAUAAGUAGUGUGAAUUGCAGAAUUCAGUGAAUCAUCGAAUCUUUGAACACACAUUGCGCCCCAUGGUAUUCCGUGGGGCAUGCCUGUUCGAGCGUCAUUUACCCCCUCAAGCUCCGCUUGGUGUUGGGCGUCUGUCCCGCUUCGCGCGCGGACUCGCCCCAAAGGUAUUGGCAGCGGUCGUGCCAGCUUCUCGCGCAGCACAUUGCGCUUCUCGAGGCACCGGUGGGCCCGCGUCCAUCAAGCUCACCCCCCCAGUUUGACCUCGGAUCAGGUAGGGAUACCCGCUGAACUUAAGCAUAUCAAUAAGCGGAGGA